rnacentral:rRNA from 1 species
AGUGAACGCUGGCGGCAGGCCUAACACAUGCAAGUCGAACGGCAGCACAGUAAGAGCUUGCUCUUACGGGUGGCGAGUGGCGGACGGGUGAGGAAUACAUCGGAAUCUACUUUUUCGUGGGGGAUAACGUAGGGAAACAUACGCUAAUACCGCAUACGACCUACGGGUGAAAGCAGGGGAUCUUCGGACCUCGCGCGAUUGUAUGAGCCGAUGUCGGAUUAGCUAGUUGGCGGGGUAAAGGCCCACCAAGGCGACGAUCCGUAGCUGGUCUGAGAGGAUGAUCAGCCACACUGGAACUGAGACACGGUCCAGACUCCUACGGGAGGCAGCAGUGGGGAAUAUUGGACAAUGGGCGCAAGCCUGAUCCAGCCAUACCGCGUGGGUGAAGAAGGCCUUCGGGUUGUAAAGCCCUUUUGUUGGGAAAGAAAAGCAGCAGGUUAAUACCCCGCUGUUCUGACGGUACCCAAAGAAUAAGCACCGGCUAACUUCGUG